rnacentral:tRNA from 1 species
AAGAGUCCUCCAUAAAAAGCUUCUAACUUUUUUACAAGCAUGAACAAGUUUAGGCCUCUU